CCUACGGGUGGCAGCAGUGAGGAAUAUUGGUCAAUGGACGAGAGUCUGAACCAGCCAAGUAGCGUGAAGGAUGACUGCCCUAUGGGUUGUAAACUUCUUUUAUCUGGGAAUAAAAGAUUCCACGUGUGGGAUUUUGUAGGUACCAUAUGAAUAAGGAAGGGCUAACUACGUGCCAGCAGCCGCGGUAAUACGGAGGAUCCGAGCGUUAUCCGGAUUUAUUGGGUUUAAAGGGAGCGUAGGUGGAUUGUUAGGUCAGCUGUGAAAGUUUGCGGCUCAACCGUAAAAUUGCAGUUGAGACUGGCAGUCUUGAGUACAGUAGAGGUGGGCGGAAUUCGUGGUGUAGCGGUGAAAUGCUUAGAUAUCACGAAGAACUCCGAUUGCGAAGGCAGUUCACUGGACUGCAACUGACACUGAGGCUCGAAAGUGUGGGUAUCAAACAGGAUUAGAUACCCUUGUAGUC
rnacentral:rRNA from 1 species